UGUUAACUCCCUGGUUCAGCUGCAGCAAUGUGAAGCUGAGGUUGUGAGACUCAGUGAUGGUGUCCUGCUCAGCUUCUGUCUACAUAUUUAGCAACUACUAUGAAGUGUAUAAAGCAGAGGCCUGGACAGGCUCUUGAGUGGAUUCGAUGAAUUGAUUCUUGAAGUUUUGGUACUACCUAUAAUCAGAAGUUCAAAGGCCAGGCCACAUCUACUGUAGACAAAUCCUCCAUCACAGCCUACCUGCAACUAAUAUCCUGACAUCUGAGAACUCUGAAGACUAUUACUGUGAAGACA